AAUCUACUCGGCUCCUCUUCCACGCUGUGGAGGCUUUGUUCUUUCCUUCUUCACAAUAGAUCUUGCUGCUGCUCACUCUGUGGGUCCGCACUACAUUUAUGAGCUGUAACACUCACUGCGAAGGUCUGCAGCUUCACUUCUGAAGUCAGCAAGACCACGAACCCACCGGGAAGAAAAAACAACUCCAGACGCACCACCUUUAAGAGCUAUAACGCUCACUGCGAAGGUCUGCGGCUUCACUCCUGAAGUCAAGCGAACCCACUGGAAGGAAGAAACUCAGGAACAUCUGAAGGAACAAGCUCCAGACACACCAUCUUUAAGAACUGUAACACUCACCACGAGGGUCCGUGACUUCAUUCUUGAAGUCAGCGAGACCAAGAACCCACUGGAAGGAACAAUUCCGGACACACUGAAAAGGCAAGUGACACACAGAAGGGAAGCAACUUAUCCAAGAUCUCAAUUGUUAGUGGAAGAAGCUGGCUGUCAACCGAAGUCAGUGUGAGAUGACCUCAGUGCUUUCUUAUCCAGGUCAGGAAACACUGGGAGAUUGAAUUUAAAUUUGAAGGUUGUUUGGUAAAUAUGGAAUCAGAGAAAUCAAAAUCACAUGGCCUCAAAAGAUGAUACUUUUGUCAAGCUAUGAAGCCUGGCUCUUUUAACAUUGAAGAUAUAAAGAUAAACAAGAUAGACAUAAAGUGUCUGGCCUCAUGAAGUUCUGCUAGAAGAGAGAAGCAUAUACAAAUAAAAUAAUAAAAAGGUAGUUAAAAAUGUGAUACCAGAUCUGUGAAGAAAAUGAAAGGGAUAUUGUGUUAAUAAAUUGCAGUAGGAAGAUCAUUCUUGAAUGAUCCAGACACAUCAUGAGCUUUUCAUCCUGACGAGAUUAGUGAAAAAGCCCAAGAAAGAAGAUGACCAAGAAGGAAACAAAAAGGGUUUGAUGUUUUAAGGAACAGAAUGAAGCCCUGUGAAUGAUAUAAAAUGAGAUGGGAGACCAGGCAAGAAAUCUACUUAUGUGAGUAAAUGGAGAUCAUGGUUUGGAGUUUGGAUUUUACUCUAACCAAAACAGGAAUUCAUUAAAAUUGGAUAUCCAUAAGCAGAAGAAGGAAACAGGGCUCCUACCUCUCAUCACAUACAAAAAAUCAAAUAAAAAGGGACGGAAGACUUAAAUAUAAGACCCAAAACUAUGAAACUACUAGAAGAAAACAUAAGGGAAACACUUCAGGCCAUUGGUCAGGGGAAAGCUUUUAUGAAGAAGACCUCAAAAACACAGAAAACAAAAAUAGACAAAUGAGAUUAUAUCAAACUGAAAAGCUUCUGCACAACAAAGGAAAUAAUCAACAAAGUGAAGAGACAACACACAGAAUGGGAGAAAACAUUUGCAAACUAUUCAUCCGACAGGGGUUAAAAACCAGACUAUACAAGAAACAAACAACUCAACAGCAAAAAUAAAUAAAUAAUAAUAAUAAUAAUAAUCUUGCCUGUAAUCCCGGCACUUUUGGAGGCCAAGGUGGGCGGAUCACGAGGUCAGGAGAUCAAGACCAUCCUGACUAACGCGGUGAAACCCCGUCUCUACUAAAAAAAAAAAAAAUGCAAAAAAUUAGCCCGGCGUAGUGGCAGGCGCCUGUAGUCCCAGCUACUCGGGAGGCUGAGGCAGGAGAAUGGCGUGAACCCAGGAGGCGGAGCUUGCAGUGAGCGGAGAUCGCGCCACUGCACUCCAGCCUGGGCGACAAAGCGAGACUCCGUCUCAAAAUACUAAUAAUAAUAAUAUCAUCAUCAUCAUCUUAUUUUAAAGUGAGCAAAUAAGCUGAACAGACAUUUCUCAUAAAAAGCGAUACAGAUGGCCAAGAAGCCCAUGAAAAAAUGUGCUACAUUAUGAAUCAUCAGGAAAAUGCAAAUCAAAACCACAAUGAGAUGUUAUUUCAUCCCCAUUUGAACGGCUAUAAUCAAAAAGACCAAAAAAUAACAAAUGCUGGUAAGGAUGUGGAGAAAAGGGAACUCUUACAUAUUGUUGGUGGGAAUGUAAAUUAGUUCAUCUAUUAUGAAAAAUGGUAUGAAGGUUCUUCAAAAAACUAAAAACAGAACUAACAUGUGAUCCAGCAAUCCUGUUACUGGGUAUGUAUCCAAAAAAAAAAAAAAAAAGGGACAUAAGUAUGUCAAAGACAUAUCGCUACUCCUGUGUUGAUUGCAGCACUAUUUGCAAUAGCCAAGAUAUGGAAACAAUCUAAGUGUCCAUCAAUGGAUGAAUAGAUAAAGAAUAGUGAAAUAUAUAGACACAAUGGAAUACUAUUCAGCCAUAAAGAACAAAAUCCUGUCACUUGAAGGAACAAGAAUGAGCUUGGAGGACAUUAAGUGAAAUAAACUGACUAAAAAUAAUAAUAAAAGCAAAAAAGAAAGACAUACCACACAUUCUCAUUCAUGUGGAUUAUAACAGCUGAUCUCAUAAAAGUUAAGAGUAGAAUAGUAAAGAGUAGAAUAGAUUACUAGAGGCUGGGAAGGAUAGUGGGGAGAGGGCAUAAGCAGAAAUUUAUUAACGGAUGCAAAAUUGCAGCUAAAUAGGAUUAAGUUCUAUUACAGUCACCCUACAGUGUUUUAUAGCACUGUAAGAUGACUAUAAUGAACAAUUUACUAUAUAUUUUCAAAUAGCCAGAAAAUCGGAUUUUGAAUGUUCUCAACACAAAGAAAUAAUAAAUGUUUGGAUGGAUAUGCUAAUUACCCUAAUUUGAUCAUUACACAUUGUAUACAUGUAUCAAAAUACUACACUGUACCCCCAUAAGUAUGUACAAUUGUUCUGUGUCAACUAAAAAUAAUAAUAAAAGCAAAAAAGAAUUCCUCAAAAAAAAAAAAACCACAAACAGGAAUCCAUUGAAGGGGUCUAAAUAUGGUCUCUGGGCCAGGAGGUGAACAGACUGCGGGGAGAAAAGUGAAAGUAGGAGUACCAACAGGAGGCCACUGCCAUUGUGAAGGCCAUGUAGAGGAGACAGGUGGACAAUUUAAGAUGUAUUCUUGAGGUAAAGCAGACAGUGCACCUUUCAAGUAAAUGCGUGAGCACCAUGAUGCUGAGAAGCUAUUUUCCCAGUGAACCAGGAAGUGAGGUAGGUAGAUGAGUCACCCAAGCGGGUGGGGAAGGAGGUGGUUGAAAUUGAUUUGUAUAUUUAUUUUAUAAAGUAAAUGAAUUAAGAGAAAAAAAUUGGAUCCUGAAUCUGAACUUAUUUACAAAUUAUUAUACCUUACCAAAAAGGUCUUUUAUGGACAAUACUAUAAAGACGGUAAUGUUUACUUUUAGCAUUACCAUCCACACCUUUAAAAUUAUUAAUAAUUUGUGAGAGUUUGCUGUAUACUAAGUACCCU
rnacentral:lncRNA from 1 species